GAUGAACGCUGGCGGCGUGCCUAAUACAUGCAAGUCGAGCGAACAGACGAGGAGCUUGCUCCUCUGACGUUAGCGGCGGACGGGUGAGUAACACGUGGAUAACCUACCUAUAAGACUGGGAUAACUUCGGGAAACCGGAGCUAAUACCGGAUAAUAUAUUGAACCGCAUGGUUCAAUAGUGAAAGACGGUUUUGCUGCCACUUAUAGAUGGAUCCGCGCCGCAUUAGCUAGUUGGUAAGGUAACGGCUUACCAAGGCAACGAUGCGUAGCCGACCUGAGAGGGUGAUCGGCCACACUGGAACUGAGACACGGUCCAGACUCCUACGGGAGGCAGCAGUAGGGAAUCUUCCGCAAUGGGCGAAAGCCCGACGGAGCAACGCCGCGUGAGUGAUGAAGGUCUUCGGAUCGUAAAACUCUGUUAUUAGGGAAGAACAAAUGUGUAAGUAACUAUGCACGUCUUGACGGUACCUAAUCAGAAAGCCACGGCUAACUACGUG
rnacentral:rRNA from 1 species